rnacentral:rRNA from 1 species
ACUGCCCUACGGGGCGCAGCAGUGAGGAAUAUUGGUCAAUGGGCGCAAGCCUGAACAAGCCACGUCGCGUGAGGGAUGACGGUCCUAUGGAUUGUAAACCUCUUUUGUCGGGGAGCAAGGCCCGCCACGUGUGGCGGGAAGGAGAGUACCCGAAGAAAAAGCAUCGGCUAACUCCGUGCCAGCGGCCGCGGUAAUACGGAGGAUGCGAGCGUUAUCCGGAUUUAUUGGGUUUAAAGGGUGCGUAGGCGGAUGGGUAAGUCAGCGGUCA